CACGAAACGUUUGUUCGCCACCACAGCAACCUAACUAAAUAUAUUGUAUUUAUUGUAUUUUUAUGAAUUAUGAUAAAAACAAUAAAUAUUUGGGUAGUACAAGUUUUAUCAUAAUUCAUAAAAAUACAAUAAAUACAAUAUAUUUAGUUAGGUUGCUGUGGUGGCGAACAAACGUUUCGUG
rnacentral:miRNA from 1 species